rnacentral:piRNA from 1 species
UACAGUUCAAAGUGAGAGAGUUCAAGAGGU